UAUGUAGGGCGCAAGCGUUGUCCGGAAUUAUUGGGCGUAAAGAGCUCGUAGGCGGUUUGUCGCGUCUGCUGUGAAAUCCCGAGGCUCAACCUCGGGCUUGCAGUGGGUACGGGCAGACUAGAGUGCGGUAGGGGAGACUGGAAUUCCUGGUGUAGCGGUGGAAUGCGCAGAUAUCAGGAGGAACACCGGUGGCGAAGGCGGGUCUCUGGGCCGAUACUGACGCUGAGGAGCGAAAGCGUGGGGAGCGAACAGG
rnacentral:rRNA from 1 species